GCCCAAUGAUGAGACCAAGGCGAAUGCGAGCUCAGUGGAUAAGAGUCCGAGCUCUCCUGUGCUCCUAUUGGCUGGUAAUCUUGGCUGGGCAGCGGAGAUUUGCUGCUUUGCUGUAAGGGCCUGCCUACAUUAAACAAGUUUUUCUCAUCAAGCUCUUAGUCAGAGGAAUGUUCGAGAGAGAUGGGAAGAACGGUCAUUUGUGUGUAUGUUUGAGUGUGUGUGGACACAGGUUGAAACUUGGUUCUCUGCAAUGUCCAAUGAGCUAUGAGCUGCUUCUUUGGUAAUCUGAGGGCA
ensembl:snoRNA